CCUAAACCUUACAGUUGCCUAGUCCCAUCGUCCCUCCCUUCCUCCCAAGAGCCGCCUGCCUCCGGGUUCGCAGCCCCGGGACAGAUUCUUGCGUGACCUCGGGCGGCGCCCAGUGCUACUGUGGACAGCUCAUUCUGCGGCGGUGGCGGCGGCGGCACCUGGCCUGUCCCCGGCGCCGCCAGGGGGCGAAUAGGGUGCCCGCCGGCUCUUGGGACGCCCGGCGUUGCCGGCGCUGCGUUCCAAAGAGGCUCGGCCAGGGAAGACGCGCCCGCUAGAACUGCUGGGCCGCUACUUCCAGCCCCGCCCUCAGGUCCGCCCGGUGGCGCCGGGUGCCCCAGGCCUGGGCCAGGGCGCAGCCGCCGCACGCCAGCACCGGUGGCCCGGCCGUCAGCGCGCCCGCUCAGCGCGCACAGUGCACUGCCGGCCGGCUCUCCGCGCUCCCUUCCCGCUGCUCCGCUGCCGGCUUGACAGCCCCAGCUCUGCUCUCGUGGCUGCCCGGAUUUUGGGGCGGUGAUUGAGUAGGCCGCACCCCGGGCGCAGCAAAUGGAGGACGCCGGAAUUUAAGGAGGGGGCGAGGGAGGAUGCAUCUCGGCUCCUCGCUUUCUCCCCACUCCUCGAAGCGUCCGCGGGCGGUGCGCAUGGCGCUCCCGCACCCUCGGGCUGCGGUGCCCGCGGAGAGAACCCGCGCAAGGCCCGCCGGAUGCGCACGCUCCGCGCUUGUACCUGUUGGAGCGCCUCUACCUGCUUGGCUCGAGCCGGCCUCCACAGUCCACGCCACCCGAGUUGCGGUCCCCUAAUGAAGGGGCCACAUUUGGCUUUAAGAAAACAAAACGAAAAAAAAUGGCUUUACAGUUGGCGCACGUCGGCUGCUCUUUGGGUCAUUUCAUGGUGAGGACCAUAUGUCGGCCUGGCCAGCAUAAGUCCCCUACCCCAUCCCUCAGGAGAGGGCCAGCAGAGGCCUCAGCCCGGACUCACCCAACAAAACAGCUAUUCCAGAUGCCUGGGAUUCACCUGGCUUUGGCUUCUCUCCCACUGCACAUUCUGGCCUGGGUCUAGGUGAGACGGUUACCCUGCUUCCAGGCACGUACCCAUGCUACUCUUGAGCACUUGGUCCUCGGGUGGCAGAGCUGCCUGCCUGCCUGAGUUUCCUCCACAUCCUGUGUGGGGAAGAUUCAGCAAGACCUCCCUGAGCUUUUGGACACGGAAGAGGUAAGAACAGCAGCAGGACCACGUGAGGCCCCAUGUGGGGUGGGGGCAGAAAGGGAUAGCAGCCCCUGUCUUAUAACUUGGUGGGCCCCUCUCUUCUCUCAUUUCAGUUAACGGAGCUACUCUUUAAAGUAUGAUAAAUGUUCAACAGAUUCAGGCUCUGUUGGGUGGACAACAUUCAAGUAUCCUGGGGAGAUCUGGGAACACAGUAAGGGAUAUCAUAAGAUAGUAAUACUUCCUUUCAUUGUUCACGUAAUGUGCACUCUGAGCUCAGUGCAUUACAUGAAUUUUAUUAUUUAAUCCCUACAACUUUCUGAGACCUCCUGUUAUCCCCAUUUGUGUAGCUUAGGAAAUUGAGGCUCAGAGAAAUGAAGUCACUUGCCCAAGGUCACACACAGCUAGUUAGGUUUAAAACUGAAACCUUUCUGCCUCCAGGUUUCAUUCCUUCCAUCCCUCCUAUACCCCAUCCCCCAGACACUUAAGCUGGGGGAGGCCGGAGCACUGAAGGGGCGGGUGCCAUGCUGGCCUUGGCCCUUGGCCAAGUUCAUCCUGCCUCCACACAGAUUGUCUUCCUGGUGUGGGGGAUGGUGGCCUACGGGUGGGCAGUGAGGCCUCCAGAUACCAGGGAACGGAGGCAGCAGCCAGUCUGCCCAAAGUUUCCAUGUUUCUGAUGGCUAAGUUCUCCAUUGCCUGGGUUGACUCUGCCCCCCAUUUUGUCCCCCAGACCCUGGCACCUUGCAGGCAGUCAUAAGAUUGAGGAUGCACCCAUAAAGCCAGAGGGGGUCCCCUGAGCCCAAAGCUAAACAAACAUGGAGGCAGAGAACCUGCCACUGAAGCCACUCAUUUGUCCCAUGUGCCCAGAAGCUUCCCCGGAUACCACUGUCACUUGUGCCAGAGCUGCCCUGGCUUCUACCUUGUGGAAAGGUGUGGUCCUAAGGAGAGAAUGGGGGGUGCAGAACUGCUGCAAAUAGGAUGCCAAGCCAGAAUCCAGAGCUGCACAGACUUUCAGGAAAGAGAGUCGCCCUUUGUCCAGAGUAGCCAGGGGGAGGGAAGAUGUUCUUAGGGGAUUAUUAUACUCAGUCCUUAAAGCUCCCCUAAAAAGGUGUUGUAAUUAUCCAUUUUACAGAAGAGGAAACUUGGGUUAAGGUCCCUCAGCUGGCAGGUGGCCCAUGUUAACUCCUCUGCUACACCACCUCCACGGCCCUUAUCAGAUUGUGACAAGAGGGAUGGGGUUGAGAGGAAGAAAAAGAGAGCCUAAAAUCCAAGACUUAGAGAGAUGAGAGGCAGCCUCGAGUGUGGGAAAAGCAUUUGAAGGCCGGAGUCACUCCCCUCCCACCCCCACAUCUACCCUAAGCUGUGGACUCUUAAAGCCACGAGGUUGACCACCACUCAUUGAUCGAUGCCAUUGAGCUCCUUCCACAUGCGGGUCGGGUCCUGUGUGUGCACCAGGGCCCAGCAGUGGCACUGUCCCUGUCCGUGGGCAGGUUGCAGUGGUAGAGGGAACAGAAGCUAUACAAGGCAAGUACUCUGGAGACAGCAUGAAUGCCAGUGACAGCGAGAGACAGCCAGCCCAGCCUGAGACUGGGAGGGGUCAGCAAGGCUUCUGGGAAGAGAGUCCUAAAGAAAGAAUGGAAAUU
ensembl:lncRNA